CUUAAAGUCAAAUGUCGUAAAAUCUUUUGAGUGCUAGAGGACUUCUGAGUAUAUUUAAUUAGAAGUAUAUUUAUUUGGAAAAUUUCAUCUUCUUCCCAAGUGUGAAAUAGAUAUUCUUGAAAGUCGAGCUCUUCCGACCCCAGGUAGAAUACGAUGCAGCUGCCAGGAUCCUCGAUCUUGGACCUCAAUCGGAACCACUUGGGAAGACUCUGGUGCUAUCUCGGACGGCUCCCAUGGCUCCUCUUUUGGCCGCAAGACAGAGAGGUAUCUCUACCCUGCAGUCCGGUCAAAGCAGUUCCACCGGGUCGGCGAUGGUCGAACUUCCUCUGCGGCUGGGCUGUCUACGGUCGGCACGUCCGCCGAAGGCGAAGGGUAUUCUUUUAUUGCUAUCUGUUCCUCCUGUAAGAGUUGUGCUCCGUUUCGUC
rnacentral:lncRNA from 1 species